UAGAGCUCAAAUUGUCUGUUUCUCCACUUGGCGCCCCUUCCCUUUCCUUGAGUAGCAAAACCCACUGACUGUGAACUUCUUCAGGCCAGGACUUUUCCUUGUUCUGGCAUCCCCAGAACCAAGCACGAUGCCAGCUUCCGGCUGCUGCUUUUAGUAUUUGUUAAAGGAAUGAACAGCUCUUCUCAAAGCUCCCAAUCAUACCUCGAUGUAGAGGACUGAAAACAGCUGAGAGCUUUGCCUCUUCUCCUGGGACAUCAGUAUUUUAAAAACAGAUCAAAGCGACAUGGAAGAAGUUCAAUUACAUUGAAUGGUAGAGUUCCAGACAGCAUUUGAUCCUUUCCUUUGAGCAAAGGACCUUCUCUAUCCCUAAAACCAAAUCACAGAAGCCUGUGGCCUGUCAGGGCUGCUGGAAAUGGUGGUUUCAGACUCUUGCUUGGGAGCAUGACACUGAAAACAGAAAUAGCUUCCAGAAGACUUCAGAUAAGUUCAUGGAUAAUAGAGCCAAAAAUGAUCACUAAAAGGGAAGUCAGAAAGAUUCAGAGCUCCAUCUUUAGACAGGUAAAAUCUGAUUGAACAACAGCAGCUGCCUUCAUCAAGGGAGCCUGGAGAGCAAACAGCGGAAAAACAGUCAUCUGGCAACAUGUUGCAGGAAAAAGACAUUACAAAAGAAUAACAAGCUUGAGGUAUGCCAGGAGG